UGGCGGACGGGUGAGUAAUACAUCGGAACGUGCCCGAUCGUGGGGGAUAACGAAGCGAAAGCUUUGCUAAUACCGCAUACGAUCUACGGAUGAAAGCAGGGGACCGCAAGGCCUUGCGCGAACGGAGCGGCCGAUGGCAGAUUAGGUAGUUGGUGGGAUAAAAGCUUACCAAGCCGACGAUCUGUAGCUGGUCUGAGAGGACGACCAGCCACACUGGGACUGAGACACGGCCCAGACUCCUACGGGAGGCAGCAGUGGGGAAUUUUGGACAAUGGGCGAAAGCCUGAUCCAGCCAUGCCGCGUGCAGAAUGAAGGCCUUCGGGUUGUAAACUGCUUUUGUACGGAACGAAAAGACUCUGGUUAAUACCUGGGGUCCAUGACGGUACCGUAAGAAUAAGCACCGGCUAACUACGUGCCAGCAGCCGCGGUAAU
rnacentral:rRNA from 1 species